UGCUGAAAGCUGAAUUUUUGGCUCAGCCUGGUAGGCAUGCACUAAGAAUACCUUGGACAAAAGGGCUGUACCUCUUUCAGCAGCUUAGGCCACUCUUCAGCUCCCACAAGGACUUCCUAGAGAUUGCAUCCACACAUGGACCACAAUUGAUCCAAAUUCCCAACUUUGUUUCCAGAAAUCUGGGGCUUUUCCUGCAUGAGUGAGGAAGAAGCUACCAUCAUGGCAGGCAAGGCAAGAACAGGGAUAAAUGCCUGGGUCUCCCAUCUCAAGAAAUCAGCUGCCUGAUUUCAACAGCCUGACCUGUUGGUUUCUCUCCAUACUCUGCUUUGAUGGAUCUGCUGAGCUUGUCCCUGAAGGCUUGCAUACAGUGGUUCUUCCUAAUAUUAGGAGCUGGCCAGUAUGGGAGCACUGGACCUGACAGCUGUGGGCACUGUGGCCAUGAACAAAGGCUUUUCUGUUUUGGGGCUGCCAGGCUGUCAGUCUGCAGGCAGGGAAAGGAUCACUUGCUGUUCCCUUCCUCUCCUGUUCUUAAAUGAGUACAAUACUCCAUUUAAAUGUGCAAAACUUACCUUCCCCUGCUAUAACUGACCAUCUGGGAACUUAAAACGGACUCCACUAGUAAACAAAAAGAAGUGGCUUGAUUAGUUUCAUAGCAGUAAAAGUGGGUGUCCUGGUUUAGGGCAGUGGGUU